CCUACGGGAGGCUGCAGUCGAGAAUCAUUCACAAUGGGGGAAACCCUGAUGGUGCGACGCCGCGUGGGGGAAUGAAGGUCUUCGGAUUGUACACCCCUGUCAUGUGGGAGCAAAUUAAAAAGAUAGUACCACAAGAGGAAGAGACGGCUAACUCUGUGCCAGCAGCCGCGGUAAUACAGAGGUCUCAAGCGUUGUUCGGAAUCACUGGGCGUAAAGCGUGCGUAGGCUGUUUCGUAAGUCGUGUGUGAAUGGCGCGGGCUCAACCCGCGGACGGCACAUGAUACUGCGAGACUAGAGUAAUGGAGGGGGAACGGGAAUUCUCGGUGUAGCAGUGAAAUGCGUAGAUAUCGAGAGGAACACUCGUGGCGAAGGCGGGUUCCUGGACAUUAACUGACGCUGAGGCACGAAGGCCAGGGGAGCGAAAGGGAUUAGAUACCCCGGUAGUC
rnacentral:rRNA from 1 species